UGGUAAUUCUAGAGCUAAUACAUGCUAAAAACCCCGACUUCGGAAGGGGUGUAUUUAUUAGAUAAAAAACCAAUGCCCUUCGGGGCUCUCUGGUGAAUCAUAAUAACUUAACGAAUCGCAUGGCCUUGCGCCGGCGAUGGUUCAUUCAAAUUUCUGCCCUAUCAACUUUCGAUUGUAGGAUAGAGGCCUACAAUGGUAUCAACGGGUAACGGGGAAUUAGGGUUCGAUUCCGGAGAGGGAGCCUGAGAAACGGCUACCACAUCCAAGGAAGGCAGCAGGCGCGCAAAUUACCCAAUCCCGACACGGGGAGGUAGUGACAAUAAAUACUGAUACAGGGCUCUUUUGGGUCUUGUAAUUGGAAUGAGUACAAUCUAAAUCCCUUAACGAGGAACAAUUGGAGGGCAAGUCUGGUGCCAGCAGCCGCGGUAAUUCCAGCUCCAAUAGCGUAUAUUAAAGUUGUUGCAGUUAAAAAGCUCGUAGUUGAACCUUGGGCCUGGCUGGCCGGUCCGCCUCACCGCGUGCACUGGUUCGGCCGGGCCUUUCCUUCUGGGGAGCCUCAUGGUUUUCAUUAACCGUGACGGGGAACCAGGACUUUUACUUUGAAAAAAUUAGAGUGUUCAAAGCAGGCCUUCGCUCGAAUACAUUAGCAUGGAAUAAUAGA
rnacentral:rRNA from 1 species